rnacentral:tRNA from 1 species
UGGGCUUGUAGCUCAGUGGAUUAGAGCACGUGGCUACGAACCACGAUGUCGGGGGUUCGAGUCCCUCCUUGCCCGA